rnacentral:rRNA from 1 species
GGCUCAGAUGAAACGCUGGCGGAAUGCUUUACACAUGCAAGUCGAACGGCAGCACGGGGGCAACCCUGGUGGCGAGUGGCGAACGGGUGAGUAAUACAUCGGAACGUGCCCAGUCGUGGGGGAUAACGUAGCGAAAGCUACGCUAAUACCGCAUACGAUCUACGGAUGAAAGCGGGGGAUCGCAAGACCUCGCGCGAUUGGAGCGGCCGAUGGCAGAUUAGGUAGUUGGUGGGGUAAAGGCUCACCAAGCCUGCGAUCUGUAGCUGGUCUGAGAGGACGACCAGCCACACUGGGACUGAGACACGGCCCAGACUCCUACGGGAGGCAGCAGUGGGGAAUUUUGGACAAUGGGCGCAAGCCUGAUCCAGCCAUUCCGCGUGCAGGAUGAAGGCCCUCGGGUUGUAAACUGCUUUUGUACGGAACGAAAAGGCUCUCUCUAAUACGGGGGGCUCAUGACGGUACCGUAAGAAUAAGCACCGGCUAACUACGUGCCAGCAGCCGCGGUAAUACGUAGGGUGCAAGCGUUAAUCGGAAUUACUGGGCGUAAAGCGUGCGCAGGCGGUAAUGUAAGACAGUUGUGAAAUCCCCGGGCUCAACCUGGGAACUGCAUCUGUGACUGCAUUGCUGGAGUGCGGCAGAGGGGGAUGGAAUUCCGCGUGUAGCAGUGAAAUGCGUAGAUAUGCGGAGGAACACCGAUGGCGAAGGCAAUCCCCUGGGCCUGCACUGACGCUCAUGCACGAAAGCGUGGGGAGCAAACAGGAUUAGAUACCCUGGUAGUCCACGCCCUAAACGAUGUCAACUGGUUGUUGGGUCUUCACUGACUCAGUAACGAAGCUAACGCGUGAAGUUGACCGCCUGGG